AACUCUCAAGCUGGAUGGCUUUAUUGCUUAUCCUAGUUUGGAUUUGGACUCUGCCGUGUUAUGACGGCUGGUCUUAAAGGUAUUAGCUGAAUCCUAGUAUGGGAUUGGUUCUACUCAGCGUGAUAAUUUUCUGACCGCUGAGGACAUCUUUCGGGAUGGCCAAACCUGUCUUCGAAUCGCUUCUAAUUUGGUGUUAAUGGUUCUUCGGAGCUGUUGCCCACUUUUCAA
rnacentral:misc_RNA from 1 species